rnacentral:lncRNA from 1 species
AUAUAUGAUAUAUACUCAAGGAAAUGGUAAAGUACCAUUUAACCCGAAAUAAUGAAACAUUUGGUAGCUUUAGGUGACUACAAUCAAAGAGAAUGGUUGACUUUGAAGGAACCAUUUUUGACGUAGUCUUAGUUUCAAUUAAUUCGAAGAAUGCUAGCUACAACUAAAUGGUGAUUCAAUGUUUGGACAUAAUAUGGGUUUUUGAAACCAUUAUUAAGAUAGUCUUGAUAAUAUAUGUCUAAAACUAUGAAUCACAAGACAUGUAAGUUGUAGAGAUCCAUCCAUCAUGGAUCUUAGCAAGCUAGUGGGAGCUAUAAGCAUCUUAUGAGAAAAAGGAUCAAAUCGUUUGAUUUCUCAUAAAGAUGUAAAUGAAUCUUUUGUUUACUAGGUUUACAAAAGAUUAGUGGGAGUUAAUCAUGUUCCUAAAAUUUAAAUAUAUAUAUGAUAUAUUAAUUUUGGAAAUGAAAUAAAUACUUCUUCGUUAAAGUUAUGACUUUAAAACAUUAUAUGAAGAUAGAAUGUUUAUGGGAGUUAAUCAUGUUCCUAAAAUAUAAAUAUAUAUAUGAUAUAUUAAUUUUGGAAAUGAAAAGAAUACUUCUUCGUUAAAGUUAUGACUUUAAGCAUUCUAUAACGAUAUAAUGUAUAUGGGAGACAUAGUCUAUAAACAUGGGAUGGAAAUCUAUAAUGAUAGAUUUUAGGAUAUAAUUGGAUUAUAUCAAGCCCUAAAUAAUAGACAAGAGUUGCUAGGAAGUUUCUCAUAUGAUGAUAAACUUCAAUUAGAAGGAUGACUCUAGUGUGACUAGCAAGUUGCCCUUCUCAAAGGGAACGUACCCUUUGACUCCCAAAGAAAUAAUGCGUAAAUAGAAUCUUUUAUGCAUACGCAUAAAGGUGAUUUAUGUAUUUCAUAUUGUAUGAAAAACAUUGAUAUGAGUUGUACCUAGAACGGUACAAGACGAUAUCAGUGCAAGCCCAGGAUCAGAACCAUGGCAACUGUCAAGUGAGUCCUUAAGUAUUUAAGAAAUACUAAAGGAAAGAUUCCUCAAAGAAUGAGGAAGAAUUAGAGUAACGUAAUGGAAGCGUAAAUGUAUUAGAUUAUGAAUCUAAUCCAUCAUUGGAUGUUUCUUCAUUAUGAAUGAAGAGAUAAACAGAUAUCUCUUUAUUAUGACUAAAGAGAUAUUUGGAUGGAAACAUUAAAGUAAUGACUUUAGUAUGUUCCAUUAUGAAUGCAAGGUAUAUUGCCAUAUAGAAGUUUGCAACAAUGUUGUUUGGAUGGGAAAGUUCAUUUAUGAACUCUCUAUUCGGUUCCAACCAGAAAGUGUAUCUAGUGUAUCGACACUAUGACACUAAUGGGGCGAUAGCUCAAACCAGGGAAUCAAGGUCUCAUCAAGGUCCGAACACAAAUGAGAAACUGAACCACAUGAUUGAGAAUCAUGUAUAAUGGUGACGUCGUUAUUCUCAAGGUUGCUUCUAUGGAUAACAUA